rnacentral:rRNA from 1 species
GCAGGCUGCAACUCGCCUGCAUGAAGCUGGAAUUGCUAGUAAUCGCGGAUCAGCGAGCCGCGGUGAAUACGUUCCCGGGCCUUGUACACACCGCCCGUCACACCAUGAGAGUCGGGAACACCCGAAGUCCGUAGUCUAACCGCAAGGGGGGCGCGGCCGAAGGUGGGUCCGGUAAUUGGGGUGAAGUCGUAACAAGGUAAC